AAGAGUGAACUAGCUAACUGAAAUCACAUAAGAUAUAAAUAUAUUAAAUGUGAUAAGGUAAGGGAAAAAACUGAUGUUACCUUACUAUUAGUGUUGUCCAAAACUGGUGCCAGAAGACUCGGUAAGACCAGAAACGCAAACGUUAAUCGUCCUAAUCAGGCGUAAAGGGUUUGUAGGCUGCUUUUAAUAAUUCUAUUUAAAAUAGCUCUGAUAAAAUCAGUUAAAUAGAUAAAUAAUAAAAGCUAGAAUCAAAUUGAGGAUAAGCCGAAUAAUACUUAGAGUAGGGAUGAUAUCCAUAGAUACUAAGGGGAAUACUAAAGGUGAAAGCUUUUAUCUACUAUUGAUUGACGCUGAGAAACGAAGGUGAGAAUAGGAAAUAGGAUUAGAUACCCAGAUACCUCUCACUGUCAACGAUGAAUGGUGGUUUGUUAGUUUUAAUAAAAACUGAUAAUGAUGUUAACGCGAUAACCAUUCCGCCUUGCGAGUACGGUUGCAAAACUGAAACCAAAAAAAUUAGUCGGUCUCGAAGCAAACGAAGUGGAGCAUGUUAUUUAAUU
rnacentral:rRNA from 1 species